AGAGAUCUAAAUGUAUUAAAAACAGAAAGUAAAUAAAAAAAAGAAAACAACCAGUGCUAGGAUCAUUAUCAGCCGGAAAUCAAAAAAAUUGUUUAACAACUGGUUGAAAAUAGCCAGUUGAGACUUGAGAGCGAAGAGAUGCGUAUUAGUGAGAGUGAGAUUAUGAUGAUUUGAUGGUGCAAAAAGAAUUGUGAAAAACACAAUUAUUAUUUUCUUCUGAUAUAUAGGAUUUGUCUCGGUGAUUUUUCUUGUUAGUUUUUUGGUACAAUUAAUUUUCCUAGGAUGGAUUCUAUUCUCAUAAGGCCUGGAAACAGUGGAGGGAAAAUCAUCGGAAUUCUCUCGCUAAAGCUUUUCUCGCUAAUUUGUAAGUUAAAUUGAUUAUGAUUGUCAGUAACUUCUUGGAGCAUGAAAUCAUCUUUCCCUUUUAUAAAUUUCAGUCUCUUGAAUCUCCCGGUUAAAAUAUCAUCAAAUGGUUUCAUGAGGACAACACAUGUUCUAAUAUUUCAACGGUUAUGUAUCUCAUUAUAUUGGUUUGUCUUUGGUCAACUUUUGUGUUCUAAUAUUUCAACGGUUAUGUUCUUCAGUCAAGUAUUGUGUUCUUUGGUUUAUAUGUUAUUGUUACUAACCGUACUCUCUAAACGUUGCAAGGCCAAGAUGUAUGGUGCAUGCAACAUGAUAAAGAUCAUGCCAUAGUUUCACAGAACAACACGACGCUUCCGUAAUACAUUUGGGAAACGAGGAGACACAACUUUCUAGCCCGCUUAUAGAUAGAGAUCGAUAAAUUCCCAUUCCAGAUCCAUUACCGAAUUUGUGAUGCCA
rnacentral:lncRNA from 1 species